rnacentral:tRNA from 1 species
GUCGGGAUAGCUCAGCUGGUAGAGCAGAGGACUGAAAAUCCUCGUGUCACCUAGUUCAAAU